AUGCCUGCCAUAGAUGUGGGUGAAACGUCAGGAGAGAAUGCUUCUGGAACAUGGCCACACAGCCCGAAAGACAUACAACAACCCUGUGAUUCUGGCCAUGAAAGCCUUCGACAACACAUUGAACAUCUCUACGGGGAGAAAUUGUUCCAAGACACACGGAGAUUGGAAAAACUAAGGACCAGGAAAGCACAUCUACUGUGCUCCCUGACCUUCCUUCUACGCUGCAGAGACACAGAUACCAUCCCACAAUUUCUUGCAGCCAAAAGGACCUUCAAAACACCACAGGCUAAUCGCAUUUACAACCGCCUGGAACGCAACCUCUUGAGAGAGAGAAUCCACACCAUCCGUAAAGAACUCGCAAACACAGACAAAGAACUGCUGCACCUCCACAUCAACAUCAGCCAAAAGAUGAAUACCCAGGACUGGGAUAAAAUAGACAGCCUUACCUACAAGAAAAUGGAGAAAGACAUGGUUCUCCACACCAAGAGACAAAAACAAAAAUUUGACAAAUGCCGUAAGCAACAGCCAAAGCCAGAACUGGAUAAAUCACGGACCAUCAUCAACCUGACAGACAGACAACUCACUGAAGACCAAGUAUCCAUUCUAGAAAAAGGAGGAAAUUUUGCAGUCACCACCACCAGGAUCCCAGUAGAAAACAUCAUUGCCAAUGUUGAAUCAGCAAUUUACCAGCUCCCUGAGGAAGAAGCAGAGGAGGUAAGAAUGGAAACAGCAAGGAUCCUGAGAAAUGCAAAACUCCCCCCCAGCAACAUAACGAGAAAAGAAAGACAGGCCAUCAAAGAUCUCAACUCAGAUCCUGAAAUCAUCAUUCUUCCAGCUGACAAGGGGAAUGCCACAGUAAUCAUGGAAACAAAACAAUACAAAGAAAAAAUCAGACAACUUCUAGAUCCCACAAUUUACAAGAAACUGAAACAAGACCCCACUAACAAAAUCACCAGAAAAACUAACACUCUAAUCAAGAACUCCUCCAUUAACUUUGACAUACGCCAACAGCUGUGCAAAUCAGAAGCCCUCCCACCCAGGCUUUACGGACUCCCCAAAAUCCACAAGGACUCCAUCCCACUCAGACCCAUUGUAAGUGCCAUUGGAUCGCCGACUUACAACCUGGCAAAAUUUCUGGCUACACAGCUACAAACCCACAUUGGGCUCACUGCACAUUAUAUCAAGGACUCUACACACUUUAUAGAAAAGAUCAGCAACCUCAAUCUAAGCACCAAGGACAUCCUGAUCAGCUUUGAUGUGGUGUCCCUUUUUACCAAAGUCCCAGUAGCUGACACCCUCACACUAAUCAAACAAAACUUCCCAGAAGACAUCACAGCCCUGUUUCACCAUUGCCUCACCACUAGCUACUUUCAGUGGGACACUGGAUUCUAUGAACAGAAGGAUGGAGUGGCCAUGGGGAGCCCUCUCAGCCCAGUAGUAGCAAAUUUCUAUAUGGAAUACUUUGAAAAACAGGCCCUAGAAACAGCACCAAAAAAGCCAACUGUUUGGUUCAGAUACGUAGAUGACACCUUCACAAUUUGGAGCCAUGGAGAGGAAGAACUCAGCAAGUUCCUGGACCAUCUUAACAGCAUCCACCCAAACAUCCAAUUCACCAUGGAAAAAGAAAAGGAAGGAAAACUGCCAUUUCUAGAUGUUCUGGUCAUCCGCAAACCCAAUCAACAAUUGGGCCACACAGUUUACAGAAAACCUACACAUACAGAUAGAUACCUUCAUAAAAACUCCAACCAUCACCCAAGUCAAAAAAGGAGCACAAUCAAAGCCCUGACAGACCGUGCACAAAGAAUCUGCGAACCUCACCUCCUCCAAGGUGAACUCAACCACCUAAACUGGGCUCUACAGGCCAAUGGAUACUCCACCACAGACAUCAGAAGAGCUGCAAGGCCAAGAACAAGCCAUGAGAGUCAAGACAAAGAUCCACCCAGAGGAAAGGUGUUCUUACCAUACAUCAAGGGAACUACUGACCGCAUAGGGAAGCUGAUGAAGAAGCACAACCUACAAACUAUCUACAGACCCACGAAGAAAAUCCAACAAAUGCUACGGUCAGCGAAGGACAAGAGGGAUCCUCUCUCUUCUGCAGGAGUCUACCGGAUACCAUGCAGCUGUGGACAAGUCUACAUAGGGACCACCAAACGCAGCGCCCAAACAAGAGUCAAAGAACAUGAAAGGCACUGCAGACUAAUUCAACCAGAGAAAUCAGCCAUAGCAGAGCAUUUGAUGAACCAGCCUGGACACAGAAUACUAUUUGAGAACACAAAAAUGCUGGACCAUUCUAACAACUAUCAUGUCAGACUACACAGAGAAGCCAUUGAAAUCCACAAGCAUGUGGACAACUUCAACAGAAAGGAAGAAACCAUGAAAAUGAACAAAAUCUGGCUACCAGUAUUACAAAACUCCAAAAUCAAAACAGUAGAUGGGAACCAACACAAUGAGGACUUGACUGAACAAAGGAUGCCCCCAGGCAAGGGACAAAACAUUUCCAGUGCCAAUUAG
rnacentral:lncRNA from 1 species